rnacentral:tRNA from 1 species
AUAUGGCGGAAUUGGUAGACGCGUGUGGCUUAAAACCUCAUCCUCCCGGGUAUCGGUUCGACUCCGAUUAUG